GAUGAACGCUAGCGGCAGGCCUAACACAUGCAAGUCGAGGGAGGAGCUUUCGGGCUUCGACCGGCGUACGGGUGCGUAACGCGUAUACAAUCUGCCUUUCACAUAGGGAUAGCCCGAAGCAAUUUGGAUUAAUACCUAAUGGUAUAUAGGAGUGGCAUCACAUUUAUAUUAAAGCUGAGGCGGUGAAAGAUGAGUAUGCGUUCUAUUAGCUAGUUGGAGAGGUAACGGCUACCCCAGGCGACGAUAGAUAGGGGUUCUGAGAGGGAUAUCCCCCACACUGGUAAUGAGAUACGGACCAGAAUCCUACGGGAGGCAGCAGAGAAGAAUAUUGGACAAGGGUCGGAAGACUGAUCCAGCCAUGCCGCGUGCAGCAAGCCUGCCUUAGGGGAUGUAAACUGCUUUUGCAGGGGAAGAAUAAGGACUACGAGUAGUUUGAUGACGGUACUCUGCGAAUAAGCAUCGGCUAACUCCGUG
rnacentral:rRNA from 1 species